rnacentral:rRNA from 1 species
AACAAGGAUUCCCCUAGUAACGGCGAGUGAAGCGGGAAGAGCUAAAAUUUUAGAUCUGGCGUCCUCCGGGCGUCCGAGUUGUAAUCAAGAGAAGCGUUUUCGCGUCGGACCUACCAUAAGUCACCUCGAACGGUGCAUCAUAGAGGGUGAGAAUCCCGUAUGUUGGUGGGUGCUCCGGUGUAUGUGAUGCGCUCUCGACGAGUCGAGUUGUUUGGGAAUGCAGCUCAAAACGGGAGGUAAAUUCCUUCUAAAGCUAAAUACGUUGGGAUGACCGAUAGCGAACAAGUACCGUGAGGGAAAGAUGAAAAGCACUUUGGAAAGAGAGUCAAACAGUACGUGAAAUUGUUAAAAGGGAAAC